AGCCGAUGAUGCUUUUAAUAUAAGAGUAGUGGACAGAACAGCUUUCUGAAAACUUCAUACUGAGGCU
rnacentral:snoRNA from 1 species